rnacentral:rRNA from 1 species
GCCAGCAGCCAUAUCACUCUGCACCUCACAACUGGCAACCCACUGAAGCUAAGUGAGCCUGGUUAGUACCUGGAUGGGAGACCUCCUGGGAAAAACUAAGGUUGCUGCUGGAA